GACGAACGCUGGCGGCGUGCUUAACACAGGCAAGUCGAACGGAAAGGCCCUGCUUUUGUGGGGUGCCCGAGUGGCGAACGGGUGAGUAACACGUGAGUAACCUGUCCUUGACUUUGGGAUAACUUCAGGAAACUGGGGCUAAUACCGGAUAGGAGCUCCUGCUGCACGGGGGGGGGUGGAAAGUUUCGGCUGUAGGGGAUGGAGUCGCGGCUUAUCAGCUUGUUGGGGGGGGAGUGGCUUACCAAGGCUUUGACGGGUAGCCGGCCUGAGAGGGUGACCGGCCACCUUGGGACUGCGAUACGGCCCAGACUCCUACGGGAGGCAGCAGUGGGGAAUAUUGCACAAUGGGCGGAAGCCUGAUGCAGAAGCGCCGCGUGCGGGAUGACGGCCUUCGGGUUGUAAACCGCUUUCGCCUGUGACGAAGCGUGAGUGACGGUAAUGGGUAAAGAAGCACCGGCUAACUACGUG
rnacentral:rRNA from 1 species